ensembl:lncRNA
AUUCUGUCAUCUUAAUUAAGAAUUGUCUGUUUUGCCAUAUAAAUUCUCCUAUGAUUGAUCUAAUCUACAGUUAAAGAGAUACAUCACUUUAUAUAACUUCACUAUAGUUGACUAUAUAUUAAAGAAAGAGUAGCUCAUAGCUUUAAAAGUAACAUAAACGACUGACAGAAGAGGCAGCAAUAGUAGCAGCUUCGGCACUUCCCCAAAGAUAAAUAAAAAAGGAACUAAAUAAAUCAGUUAAAUCUCUGCACUCCUCCCUUCCACCCUCCUUGCAGCAUCCCUGCCUGUUUUUCCAGAGAGGUGAGGACCGCCCUGUGCUCCUGAGAGAGAGGAAGCUCGCUGAGAGCGGCACGCUUCACUACAGAAACACCUGCUUUUGUUAGCUCACUACGCCACUUACUCUCACCCUCAGGGACAUGCCACGGGGAGGGAGGGAGGGGACUGAGGAGACACAAAGCAAACAAUGUCUCUGAGCUCCAUGUCAUCUGGAUGAGAAAACAGAUCCACCACCGCCUCAGAAUACAGAAGGACAGAGGAAAAAAUAGACCUGAGCUCUGCAGCACUGAUGAGCAACAGAACCAGAAUCACCUACUGAUGACAACCACCACCACGACCCUGAUGAUGAGGAGGACUGAGAGAGAAAGAAAGGUGUGAAUGGUAGUAGGCAUUCUUCAAACAUACAAAUCACUCUUGCAUGAAUGUGGGAAAAGUAAUAUAUUCUUACCAAUAACAAGGAAAUAAGCUGAAUUUUAUAGCUGUGUUGCAACUUCAAAAAAAAAAAUCACCGUUCAAAGGUGACCACAAAAAGUAAUUACAGACACACUGGAGACCCAUACAAAGUUCCUGUCUCAGUAUUCAUGAAACUUUAAUUGCAAGGAACAACCAGAGCCCAGUCACUCUGGUUUUGAUCAAACAUAAGAGUACACAACACACUACACUGCAUCCAAACAUUAGAAAUAAGAUAUAAUGUGAUUAUUUCUUGCAGGAAACCAAUGCUUGCAGAGAAAAGAAAUAAUACAAUUAAAGUUGUUUUUUUUUAAUGGGGGGGCUGUGUAUGUGAAUUAACACAUAUCAAGAGAGACAUUGCAGUGUAAAGGUGGACAAAGAUGGUACAAUAUACGCAAGAAAGAAAAAUGACCAAUAAUUCUCUAUUUUGCAUAAUCACAAUUCAAUAUGCAAAUAUCAUCUCUGUUUGCUGAACAAUCCAUAAAAGUUGAUGGAAAACUUUCACAAUUUAAUCUUACAUUUCUUAAAGUAUAAAGCUUGCAAAAUAACUAACUUAAUAAAUAAAACCUAAACAAAACA